CCCAACCGACGGGCGGAGGCGCUUAGCGGUCCGCGUGAGGGCGGCCCUCCCACCCUCUGAUUGGCGGAGAGACGCCGCAAGGAGCAGCGCGCGCAGGGCCGGCCGGACCGAGACUCCGGGAGCCAGAGGAUAUUGGGGUUGAGCUUCCUGGGAGCCCAGGCUGAGCAGCUGCUGCUCCCCCAGCGGGAUCGGGGCUGGGGAGUGACCUCUGCGCCCAGCCAAGCAAUUGCAGGAGCCGAUCCAGCCAUAGGAGAGCGAACCCCCAGGAUUGGUUGUCAGCCAGAGUGGGAGAGACGGGGGAAGGGAGACACAAGGAGAAAAAGGCAAGAGAGACUGAAAAGGGCAGUGGGAGAAAUAAUUGGGAGAGAGAUUCCCCAAUUUCUGACCGGCCCCACACACUUAUUAUCGCAUCCCUGGGCAGAUUCACUUUGCUAUGAACAAGGUGAGGUGCAGGAGGAGGAAAAGCCAGUU